rnacentral:rRNA from 1 species
AAAAGAAACCAACAGGGAUUGCCUCAGUAACGGCGAGUGAAGCGGCAACAGCUCAAAUUUGAAAUCUGGCCUCUUCGGGGUCCGAGUUGUAAUUUGUAGAGGAUGUUUCGGGUACCGCCCCGGUCUAAAUUUCUUGGAACAGAAUGUCAAAGAGGGUGAGAAUCCCGUCUUGGACCGGCGGUAGGGCCUAUGUGAAACUCCUUCGACGAGUCGAGUUGUUUGGGAAUGCAGCUCAAAAUGGGUGGUAUAUUUCGUCUAAAGCUAAAUAUUGGCCAGAGACCGAUAGCGCACAAGUAGAGUGAUCGAAAGAUGAAAAGCACUUUGAAAAGAGAGUUAAACAGUACGUGAAAUUGUUGAAAGGGAAGCGCUUGCAAUCAGACUUGAGCGCGGCGGUUCCCCCUUCCUUUUGGCUGGGUUAUUCCGCCGUGUCCAGGCCAACAUCGGUUCUGGGGGUCGGUUAAAGGCUCUGGGAAUGUAUCUUCCUUCGGGUUGACUUAUAGCCCAGGGUGUCAUGCGACCUCCCGGGACCGAGGAACGCGCUUCGGCUCGGACGUUGGCGUAAUGGUUGUCA